rnacentral:rRNA from 1 species
AUUGAACGCUGGCGGCAUGCCUUACACAUGCAAGUCGAACGGCAGCACGGGAGCAAUCCUGGUGGCGAGUGGCGAACGGGUGAGUAAUACAUCGGAACGUGCCCAGUAGUGGGGGAUAACCCGGCGAAAGCCGGACUAAUACCGCAUACGACCUACGGGUGAAAGCAGGGGAUCGCAAGACCUUGCGCUAUUGGAGCGGCCGAUGUCAGAUUAGCUUGUUGGGGGGUAAAAGCCUACCAAGGCAACGACCUGUAGCUGGUCUGAGAGGACGACCAGCCACACUGGGACUGAGACACGGCCCAGACUCCUACGGGAGGCAGCAGUGGGGAAUUUUGGACAAUGGGCGCAAGCCUGAUCCAGCCAUGCCGCGUGCGGGAAGAAGGCCUCGG